CCGCGUCUCAGUAACCAUAGUAACUCGCAGACUGUAGGGCAUUAUGGGAGUGACGUCAGGCCGGUGAUGUCACAAUUCCCUCCAUGAUGGCUGCCGGUGCAAUGUUGUCACCAAGAACCUUCCUCCUCUCUCCGGCUCUCCUUUACCACCUGCCCUCAAGAUGUCUAUCAUCAUCCCACAGCAGCCAGCAGAAGGAUGGCUGGUUCAACAAGCUACUGGUGAGGAAGAUCGAGCCCACCAAGGAGUCCCACUCUCGUAUGUUGUCAGACAAGGAGGUCAUCUAUGAGCUACAGACACACAACAUCAAGCCUGGCACAAACCAAGAGUACCUUAAGAACUAUGAGGAGUAUGUCAAGGGAGUAAAGGAUAAAGGGGAACUUAGCAACAUGGAGCUUCAUGGGUCAUGGACAGUGUCAGUGGGAGACCAGGAUCAGUGUGUGCACCUGUGGAAGCAUGCCGGGGGGUACCGAGCCAUUGAUGCCUCCAGCAAGGUCAUAGCCACAGACACAGAUCUCUCAAAGCUGGUCCAGGACAGAAAUCAAUACCUUCGACAACGCACAAAUCAGUUCCUGCUUCCCUUCAGCUUUUGGCCGCCAGUCACCCCACGCGAGGGAGGAAAUAUAUAUGAGAUCCGCUCAUACUUUCUUAAGCCAGGCACCAUGAUCGAGUGGGGCAACAACUGGUCAAGGGCAAUCCACUUCCGCCAGGCUAACAAUGAAGCAUUUGGCGGGUUCUUCUCUCAGGUCGGCCGCCUGUACAACGUCCAUCACAUCUGGUGCUACAGGAGUCUGGCUGACCGCAAGGAGAACCGGGAGUCUGCAUGGCGCAAGCCUGGCUGGGACGAAGUGGUUGCCUACACAGUCCCUCUAAUAGAAGAGUACUAUUCCCGUAUCCUCAUCCCCAACACCUUCAGCCCCACACAGUAGGGAGUGCUGUGCCUUGACCCCCCGCUGCUGUGCUCCUCUGAGGUCAGGUGAAGAAAGCUACAACUCUCUGGAGGGGAGGAAGGAGGCGCGUGAGAAUGCCUGGCGCCACCCAGGCUGGGAUGAAGUCGUGGCUUACACUGUGCCGCUAAUCAAGGAGAUGCACGCCAGGAUCCUCGUGCCAAACUACUUCUCUCCAGCGCAGUAGUCACCACAGAUGCACACACACAUUCACUCAGACUCACACACACACCGUCGGGCCUGCUCACCACCUCCAUCACUGUUGCCGCCGCCUCAGGAGUGCAUAGAAAUUUGACCUGUGAACUCCUGUGACCUAAGAAAGAUUCAGUUGCCCCAGAUUGCCCUAGAUUGUUCUGUAUAUAUGGUAUGUCAGACACAAGAGUAGAGAAGGAAACUGAGUCUGUAAGUCACUAGUAAGACCAUUAGUAUAAGUUGUUGAUCAGUUAGUUCCCAGUCAGUGCUACUCUACCACCACGAGUUGCUUCCAGGUGACAUGGGUCCUUAUUCUCAAAUGUUUUGUUACAUUAUCCUGACUAGUUUUAAUAGGUUGCAUUGGAAGUUAUUGUGGUUUUCAAGAGUGUUUUCACAAUUCUAGUGAUACCUUGAGGAUCCUGCACUAUCAGUGGGGAAAAAUACCAUGAAAAACCUAAAUAACUAUCCCUGUGGUCUUUGAAAAAUAGUCCUGAUGAAAAAACACAGCAUUUAAGAUUACAAGUGCUUAUGAUAUGAUGUGUGGAGUGUGGUUGAUGAGUGUUGUCAUACGUGUGUUAGAGAAGACUUGUUCUUGUAUUGGAGGAGCCUCGGUUGUUUCUAGCAUGCAGUGUGAAUGAAUCGGGUAUAAUGCAUCAGGUGUUACUAGAGCAAUAUAAAAUGACAAAACUGUACAGCUUGUGUAUAUGCAUAUACUUUGUUUGUGUAUGUAUGUAUGUAUCAUAGAUCAUGUGGGUUAUGUUCAAUUGCUCAGUGAAAUCUUUAUCGAGGCCUGUGAACUUAAUGUACAUUUUAUUUCAUAGACUUCCACUCACAUGGGAGGGAGGUUGAUGUUGGUAUUAUAUAGAACUGUUAAAAAAAAUAAUGGUGUGUUAAGUACUGCUAAACAAAAGCUCUUCAGAUGUUUUUGCUACUUUUGUAAUGAGUAAGUACAUACACUUGUCUACAGCCUUGUUAAGUGUACAUGGAACUGUAUCUUGGUAAAUGUUAGAUUGACUGUUAAACCAUAGCAAUAUUAUUGUUAUUGUUUCUCAUUUGAUUCUGUUUCUCCAUCUUUAUGAUAACAUUCAGAAAAGAAGUUGAUUUUGCAGGUGUUGAAGCAUUGUCAGACGUCUGUAUUAUUUCUUAUUCUUACUUGUGGUGUGGCGAGAGAGAGAGAGAGAGAGAGAGAGAGAGAGAAGGUAUGGUAUUUAAUUUGAAGACAGCUACACCAUAAAUGCAUGGUACUCCGUGCAUUUUUAUGUAAAGUAUGUGUGAGGACAGGAGAAAAAUAAGAGAUAUGUGUACAGUGUUUGCUGUAUGUAUGGUGUAUGGAAUAGAGAGAGUAAUGGUCUACUGCAAAGUAUAUGUAGCAUGUAUACUUUGGGUGUAUUGUUCUUGUGUGGCACUGGUGACUGGCUUUCCCUGGGGCAGCAAGGGACAGCGCUUGAGUUGAACAAAAAUGGAAAAAAAAUAAAUAAAAAGGAAAUAAAUAGUUAGCUGGUUGGAUAAUGAUGAUGGUGAUGUGAUAAGCAUUGUAUAUUUCUCUGUAUCUAUAAAAUUAACCAGUAACCUUU